CAAUUUUUGCUUUAUUUUGGUUCUCUGAUGAGUGUACUGUGGGGUAGACCAGACGCCUGAACUUGACUUUAAAAAAUACCUCACCAUUAAAAAGAACCUUUGAAUUGACUACAUUUAUUAAAAAAAAUGAUAAAGUAAAUGAUAAAGUAAUAAAAAUAUAGUUAAGUGAACUAUUUAUAAGAAAAAGAGGUCUUCCAGGUUGUCAAGGUAUGUGAUUGUACUAACAAAUGGCUGUAAAUUAUGCACUUACUAAUAGCUUUGUAUUAUAUACUAACAAAGGGCUGUAAAUUAUAUGCGUAUGAAAGAGAGGUACAUGCAUGAAUUGCUACGCGAGAGGCGUGAGCAGAACGCGCGGAGGCAGCGCUAGGGAUCGCUCUUUAUAGAUGUAAUCAGAGAAAAGGAGCGCUCCGCGUCUCUGUACCCGCCUGUGGAUUGAGUAAGACUCUCCCGAUAGGGGCAGGGAAAUUGGGAGGAGGCCUUUAAUCUGAUUCCAAAAGCACCUAUAGGGAGGGCUGGAUCUCAGUGAACUGGCCUGUGUAAGUCUUGUUAGUCUAUAUGUUGUGUUUUUAUGUGGUGGUCUGGACCAAAGUGAAUGGGGAAAUUUUUUCUUACAAUUCCUAGAAAAGAGGAUUGAAUAAGAAAGCAUAUAAUGCGAAAUCUGUGAAUGAGGAUGCAUGUGAUGAGAGAAUUGAAAUUAAAGCAUGAGUAGGGUGUGCUUAAGGAUGUUGAGUGUUGGAGAGAAAUUUCUGAGGUGUAGUGUGAGAGAAAGUAAGUAUUAUAAUUAAUAAAAUAAAAUAUAGAUAAAAAUAUUAAUUGAUUAGAGAAUUAAUAAAAAGUGCACAUGCUGUGCUGGAGGGACAAAGCAAACAAAGUGGCCACAACAAUUAAGAAAAGCAGUUUUGCAUGUAAAAAAGGUUUGGUUUGUCUCCCAGGACCUGCUUGUGAUGGUAAAGACACUUCAACUGUUCCCCCAAAUUAAAAUAAAAAAAAGUAAUAUAAAGAAAGGCUUAGAUUCCAGAUUAAAAAAGAAUACUUUGCAUGCAAAUGAUCUGUGUCUGUUUGUUAAGAGGCCUUGAUAGCGACAGACGUUAACUAGUAACUGUUACUCAGAUUUGGGAAGUUAUUUAAUGAUGAUAUACAUAGAACAGAUUUAGAUAUAAAUAGUGAGUUCUGAAUGUGUGGUGACAGUUAAGAGAUUAAAAGCAGAUUGGAUUAUAGAGAUGUGCACAAGGAAAUUCCUGUAGUUAUCGCUUUAGUGUUGUGUGUGUCUGUGUUUGUGUGAAUGGUUGUGUAAAAUUCCAUAUUAGUGGACAAGCAGAGCCGCCCUCCUGCACCGUCCCUUAAAUAGAGCAUGGCAGAGUUGGACGCUCUCUGUGUUGUACUGAGAGGAAUGAAUGACUGAAUGAGCCCUGUAGAUAUAAAGGGACAAAUGUUGAGUGAAUGAGUCUUCUAAAUGUGAAGGACUAGAAUGUGAGAGUGUGUUUGACUGUUUGUGUUUAGUAGUGUGUUUGUGAUAAAUAGUGAAAUAAAAUAAUCAUUAUUGUAGAUUAUAAUAUUAUAAUAUUAUAUAUAUAAUAUAAAGAUGGACUGCAGAUAUUGUGUGAUAUAGAAGAGGUAUAUAUAUAUAGAAGAAGUAUAUGAUAUAUAUUGGAAAAGUAUAGAAGAGACUGAUACAGUUUAAGGAAGAGAGUAUAAUAUUUAGGAAAUAAAUACAUUUUGUUCAAAUAGAAAGAUAUAAAGAAAUAUAUUAAAUUAAAGAGAAGCAUAUAACAUAAGUUGACAUGUGCAUACAAAGAGAUCAUAAUUUAAGUUCUUAGAAUAAAAUUUAAUUUAGGGAAUAAUAGCAUCUGAUUUAAUAUUAGUGAGGUGUAAAAGUGUAUAUUGCAAAAUAGUAUAAGAUAAAUAGAAUAAAGUAAAUACAAUAUGGUAGAAGAUUAUGUGUUAUAUAAAGUAAUAAAGUAAGAAGGUAAACGUUUAGGAACAGAGGGGAAUAACACAUAAUAGGAAAUAAUAGAAUUAGAACUUGAAAAAAAAAAUAUAUUUAAAUAUAUAUAAGAUACUCAUCUAAGAGAGAACAGAACAGAAAAUAAUGGCAAAAGGAAGGAACAUUUGAUGUAAGCAGUGUGUGUGUGAGAGAGAGAGAGAGAGAGAGAGAGAGAGAGAGAGAGAGACAGGACAAUGGAUCAAUGACCAAUACAGAGGGAAAUUAUGGAAGUAGCAAAAGAACUUAAAAUGGAUUAAAAGCAAGUAGGGAAAGGUUAAAACUAAAGAGAUGAGUGUGUAAAAAAGAGUGAGAAAAUGUACUAUAGAAUUGAAACAGAUUUAAAAAAUAUUAGAGAAAUUCAAACAAUGUAAAGAAAGGCCAACUAGUGGGAAAACACUAGAUUAGGAAAAAACACAAGCUGAAGCUAAAGAAAGGAAUUAGAAGAAAACUAAAGAAACAGAAAAUUAAAAAAGAUACAGUAGACUUAGUAAUAAAUAUUAAGAAGAAUUAACUAUUGGACAGCAAAUAGAAGAACAUAGAUGAGAGGAGUCUUUAUUUGAUGAAGGAAAAAUGGGAAAGUGGAAAAAUGCUUAGAUUAUUAACUAAGCAAAUUGUUAUAUUAAAUUAAGGGGCACGGAGAUGGACUUUGAAGGGUCCUAGCCUUUUCGCCUGCCUGAUAUCCCUGAAGGCAUUGGGAAAUAGAUUAAGGUGUUUUGAGAAACACAAGGAGCAACUUGUUGACUGUGGACUCUUAUCACAUGAACUAAAGCAGUGAGCCAGGCACUGCAUACAGAGAGCUAUAGAGACUUUGACCCAUCGACAUAUGUUCAAAAGACACUUAAAGAAGGAGAAACAAAAGACUGAUGAACUGAUCAAAAAAGUUAAACUUUCCAGCAACAUCAGCUGGGUGAAAGAGAAGCCAGCACCAAGAGGGAGGAGAAAUGCUCAACACUUUAACUCCUUAAAUAAGCAGGAAAUGUGGGGAUUCCUGAAUACAACAAUGCAAAGACUGCACCAUCUGUGGAACAGUUGCCUUGGGGUUUGAGGGAGAGAGAUUGGCUAUGGCCUAGCAAACUCAAUCUCAAAGCCCAGUAGACAUAUGAUCCAAAUCAAGUAUGUUGCAAAUUAAAACAAAAGUGUAGCCUUUCUUGUAUCAAAUCAGACUCCUGUCAAUUGAUUACUUAGAAAGUUAUUUUAUAAAAUAGGACUUUACAUUUAGUAAAAGAAAUUUGAAUUAAAUAAGGAUUAUGAAAUAAAAAGAUAAUAUCUAUUAAUGAAAACAGAUAGAAGAUGUAAGUAAGACAAUUGAUAAUGGGAAAAUAGAUUGAGUUAAAGCAUUUCUGAAGCAGGGCUAGUAAAAAGAAGAAUUUGUCUAUGCAAAUUUAUAAUUUUAAAAGAGAUUUAGACUUAGAAAAUUAUUAUCAGGAAGAAAUUGAAGGAAAAAACAACAGCACAAGAAAAUAGGUCAACAGUGAAAAGCUCUAAGUGUAGUAAAAGAUGAUUUGGGGAAAAAAGGGGUUUAAUGUAAUAGAUUUUGUUUAAUAUAUCCAUACAAGUAAAAAAAAUGGAAACUAAAUUUGAGGACUAAAGAGUAAAGCAAAACAGAACAAAAAGAUUAAAUGAUUUUUUAGUUAACUUUAAAAUUACAUGAAAGAUGUGUAUACAAUCAAGUAGAUGGGUUGCCUUAGAAAGUAAAUAUUAAUAGAGAGAAGUUUAGAGAAAAAAUAAAUAAAUGCAACAUUCAAAUGAACAAAUAGUUCAAAAUGAUUUAAAGAAGUAAAGUUAAUACUUAAAGAAUUAUUAUCAUUGCAGGACUUGGAUUUAGAAUUACAAAAUAACCAGUACAGUGAGGGUUAAAAUUAAACCAGAUGCACAUCUGCAGAGAAAAGAAAAAAAGCUGAAAUAGGUAUAAAAAACAAUAUUGAAGUUUUAUUAAGAGUGGGAGUAUUAACACCUAGUGAUUAUAAUAUGCAAUACAUAUGUCGUUGGAUAUUUCUAUUUAGAUUAUAUUUCAAUUCAGGUAUGACAGUGUAUGUAAUUAUUAAGAUUUGAAUUUAAAUUGAAUAAAUACUAUAAUUAUGCUGCAUCAAAGCAGGUAAAAAGCAGAAGAUAUAAGAAAAAUAAAUGAGAGAAAAUUUGUCAACUGAAGUUCCUACAUUUUAUGAACAAAUGUUCCUCCUGAUGUCAAAUAUUGUUGAUAACUAGUUUCUUUUUAGCCAAGUUUAGGUAAUUAGCAAAAGAGGAUAGGUACCUAUUAGUAUUUUCAUUUGCUGCUGAAAAUUAUACAUACACAGAGUCUGAAGAUCUUAUGAUGAACAGUAGUGUGUUACACUAUAUUUACACUAUUACACUAUAGUUACACUAUAUAGUUGAUUUAAAUAUCAGCAGCUCCUCAUAGCUCUAGCUCAAUUAAAAGACAGCAAACCCAUUAUGACUUUUAGGGAUGACUGAAAUUUAGCAUUGAUGGAACAGAGAAUUUUACAACAAACUACACUAAAAAAAAUUUAUGAAACAGGAAAGACUGCAAAAAUAAGGCCCUAAAUUAACAGGAAACACAGAUUCAAUAAAAGCAUUUGAGAUGAUGAAAGAAAAAUUAGUUUAUCAUUAAAAGAAACAAUACAGAUUUGAAAGUUAAACAAGUGACAGAAUAUGAGGUAGCAAAUCAUCUAUAGUGCUUAUAGAGGUACAGUCUCAAUUGAAGAACAUUGUGAAAAUUAAAAAACAAAAAAAGUCUCUGUGAACAAUCUAGCAUGAAAGGGGGGAAAUAGCCUAUAUACAUAAAAGACUAAUUGUUGUGCCAACAGCAUCUCCAAGUAUACUUAUUGUCGAUGCACAUGAAUUUGAUCAAGGGUGAAGUAUUAGGAAAACUUAAACAGCAAGGAGAUUGGUAUCAGUCGAAUGCAGUGCUUAGUGAGUUUUGUCCAUGUGACAUCUAUGCUAAAUAUAAUGUGAGGGAAGGAACAGCAAGCAGUACCUGAAGUGAUUUUUAAGCAUUUAGUAAUGAGGGUUUGAGGUUAUAAUAAAAUGAGUACAAGGCAAGAAAUACAUGUUUGUACUACUUAACAGGUUGGGAUUAAAAUCUGGUUGUGAUGAUUAACUAUAUUUCUAAUGAAUAAAAACAUCCAUUCUUAGAUUUGGACUAUCAUCAGAAAUAAUUUCAAAUAAUGAUUGUGCAUUAAUAAAUUUAGAGUAAAUUAAGUAAAUUAAAAAUAGAUAAAUAAGUAAAUAAGUGAUUCAAUAAAUAUUCAAAUAAAUAAAUAAAACAGUUAAAGAAGAACUGUUAAUUAAGAAUGAAUCAAAGGCUAGAGUGAAGUUUAUCAAGCACAAUCACAAGGACUGGUCAAAGGCACCAAGAAGAUUUAUUAAGGCCAUAACUUUUUUGAAAAACGUAAAAAAUGGUAAACCUGAUUGAGUUUGGAUUGGUAAAAUGGACUGAUGUGUAAACUGAUGCUUUAAUGAGUUUUUAUGUAAACUAACAGAUACAGGAACACUGCAUGGAACGCUUAUGGCACAUAAGAAUUUCUGUCGAAUAAGAAAAACUAACUGCCAUGUAUGAAGUUAUUUAUUUACAGGAACAGAACAGGGAACGACAGAAGGAAACUGUUUUGGAAGAUGUUCCUGCUGUUGUUGCUGCUGAUGAUGCAAAUAAAGAUGAGUGAAAGCCUAGAGGUAACUUCUCCAAAGGAGUUCAUCGAAGCUACCAGAGCUCAUAUCAGAUGUACACGGGGAAAGAGGGAAGAUGAUUACGGUCAAGGAACACCUUGGUAUCCAAUGGCAAGAGAUGCAGAAGAGCAGACUCUACUGGCGGUUUAAAAACCCACUGUCUGCUCCAACACCAGACAGUACUCAGAAGUACCUCUGGCGACGUGGGAUAAAACAUCAGAAAUGGCUCUUUUACAGGCGCCGAGAAUAUUCUACAACUAUAUGAUUUCUAUUAAAUGAUAAUUAAUCAAGUAUAUAUGCAGUAUACCAACAACUGUGAGCAAGGCUGACAAACAUAUGUUUUUAACCUGUCUAAUGAUUAUUGUGUGUUGAACUCCCCAAGGAAAGUAUUCAGUUAGGGAGAGCGGGAUCUUUUACUCCCUCUAAAGUCAAAAGUAGAGGGAGACGUUUGGUUCUGUUUCUCCUCUGAAGUGCGGCGAAAGGAUGCUGACAAUUGAUAAGGAUGUAGAUGGGCAACUUUUUGGUUGCACAAGUAUGUUAAGACUUUGCAAGUGUUGGAUUCUUGAGUUGCACUUCAGUGAGGGAUUUAGGAAAAGGACUUUUUUGAUUAAGUCCUUAAGGGGGGAUUUAUAUUGGAGAAUUAUAGAGGAACUUUUAUUAUGUAAUCACUAUAUAAUCACUGUAUAAUCUGCCACUAUUAAAAUACACUGUUAAAACAUAUAGAAAUACAUUCAAGUGAUGCAGAGCAAAACACACAGAAGUAAACAGCGGUGAAGUAAGACCAUUCAGACAGCAUGUGCAACAUGUAUUGAUGUAUUGACCAUGACAAAAACAACUUAAAAACAACUUUGCUCAACCUGCAUGGCAAAAGCAUGCAUAGGGAGAAUCAUUUAAAAAGUGUUGAAAUAUGACCUUUAAGAUGUGCAAAAACAGAAAAACAUACAGCCAUCAAUAUAAAGGCUAGAAUCCUAUUGGAGCCUGGAAAUAACGUGAUGCUCAUGCUACACCACUGUUUCAUGAUGACUAUAGGAAAAACCUGUAUAUAAACUGUGGGUUUUGGAACAUUGGUAGGAGAGAGAUCGAUCGACCAACUCUGCUGUAACAAUAAACUGCUUCAACUUGA